rnacentral:rRNA from 1 species
UACGGAGGAUCCGAGCGUUAUCCGGAUUUAUUGGGUUUAAAGGGUGCGUAGGUGGCUUAUUAAGUCAGGGGUGAAAGACGGCAGCUUAACUGUCGCAGUGCCCUUGAUACUGAUGAGCUUGAAUAUACUAGAGGUAGGCGGAAUGUGACAAGUAGCGGUGAAAUGCAUAGAUAUGUCACAGAACACCGAUUGCGAAGGCAGCUUACUAUGGUAAGAUUGACACUGAGGCACGAAAGCGUGGGGAU